rnacentral:rRNA from 1 species
AUUGAACGCUGGCGGCAUGCCUUACACAUGCAAGUCGAACGGCAGCACGGGAGCAAUCCUGGUGGCGAGUGGCGAACGGGUGAGUAAUACAUCGGAACGUGCCCAAUCGUGGGGGAUAACGCAGCGAAAGCUGUGCUAAUACCGCAUACGAUCUACGGAUGAAAGCAGGGGAUCGCAAGACCUUGCGCGAAUGGAGCGGCCGAUGGCAGAUUAGGUAGUUGGUGAGGUAAAGGCUCACCAAGCCGUCUAUCUGUAGCUGGUCUGACAGGACGACCGGCCACACUGGGACUGAGACACGGCCCUGACUCCUACGGGAGGCAGCAGUGUGUAAUUUUGGACCAUGUUCGAUACGCCUGAUACAGCCAUGCCACGUGCAGGAUGAUCGCCUUCGCGUUGUAAACUGCUGAUGUACGGUACGACACUUGCCUUUUCAAAUCAAGAGGGCUAAUGACGGAACCGUAAGAAUAAGCACUCGGCUAACUACGUGGCAGGAGCCGCGGUAAUACAUAGGGUGCAAGCGUUGAUCGGAAUAUACUGUUCCUCAAACGUGCGCAGUCGUUAUGUAAGACAGUUGUUAAAUCCCCGGGCUGAGCCUUGCGAGCUGUAUUUGUGACAGCAUAUCUAGAGUAUCGGAAGAAGGUUGAUGGAUUUUUCCUCGCAAAUGAAAUGGUUCGAUGUGUAGAAGAAGCUCCUCGGCACAGCAAUCCCCGUGGACUGGGAUGGAGGGUCUAGAGUGCAGGGUGUGGGGAGGAAGCGGACAGAUAUAUAUCAGCCCCUGCAAUACGCGCUGCGCGGGGGGUAUCUCGGGUCUCCAUAUCGGGGAAUUGCCGCUUGGAAUCUCUUGCCCUCAUAU